UUUAUUUCGCAAAGAAAAUUAGUCUCACUUACCUCAGCGUGACUCUGACGACGCACCGAACCGUAGCGUUUCAUCAUGCCGGAACUAGAGAGGUCAUGUCGUGAGGCAGUAUAUUCAGGAUAUCUGGCCGAUACAUAGUGCCGCUGCCCCAAUUCUCAUGCGGCGGUGUUAUUUGAUCCAAAUGUGGCUGACUGCGAUGACGUACCAUGUCUGUGCUGCUCGUGCUUUGUGCGAUAGUCGGGUAAGGAGUCUUACCAUUUACGCCGUUACUUACGCCCUGAUUGUUCUACAUCCACAAGGAAAGAGUAAGAGAGAGUGAGAGAGAGAGAGAGAGAAAAUGUUACUUUUAACACGUAUAAAUAAAGAAAUCGUACAAAGAGUGGACAUUGAGAGAACAUUAAA